UAUUGCUUAUGUUACUUUGUGUUUGCGGGUUAUGUGUAUGAGGAUUACCUUGUGCAAUGUUUUCUGCUUUUUGCCUUGAUGUGGAUUACUGUUUUUGGGACCACAAUAAAGCUUCUAUUGGAUUUUCAAUAUUGCCCAGAUUUUCAAUCUGCUGCCUGAGAGACAAGUCCAUGUUCAAGGUUUGGCAAUACCUUGUAGUGGAAGUGUGGAAAGGCUGGGUUGCAACGAUGCAGACUUUAAAAUCACUUUUAACCUCUGUCUGGAUGAUCUCUUAUUACAUUGGGAGAUGGAGCUGGUAAAGUCAUUGGAAAUCUGGAACUUCUCCGGGUACUUGCAGCUCUGCCAAGAGGGGAAGGUAAUGGAUCAUAACCAGAACCUACCUGUAAGGACUCAAGAGCCCACUUCAGUUCAAGUGUCCUCAGAGUUCACUCAAGAGCCCGCUCCAUAGCCUGCUUCAGUUUGUGAGUUCACUCCAGAGCCCACUCCAGUCUGUGGGAUCGUGAAGCGCCCAUUUUUUUCAAACCAGCUGUCCGACCUACCAAUACUACAUGACAUUCAAAGCUUCAGACAUCAUCAGUCACAUGGUAUUGUCAUUUCAAUACAAGCAUCUGCACAAUGUGUGAUACAGUAGAGGUUGGAAAACUGUGUCAGACCAUCGGAGCCCUUUUAUCAAUCGUCCCAUCACUACUUGUCUGGGGUAUUUUAAGAAUUGGUGGCAAACGCAGAAAGUUCAAGGCCAAUUGGGAACAUGGAGAAGUCAGUUCCACAGCUUUUCUGAGAAUUUUAUUUUUAUUUCCAUUUUAUUUCUCUGUUCUAAUCCAUGAAGCAUGCGACACCUAAGAAUUGCACCUGCGCCAAGAUUGCUCACCGUUUAUAUUCAGAUUGAUACACAUAAGCAAACAAAAAUGCUGCUACUCCUCUGUCUGCCCCAGAUGACACUUCACCAGAACUAGGCGUAGGUGCCACAGCCAAGGUGAGUUAACUUAAUAUUCAAAGUCACGUGCCUCAACCACAGUGUCCGGUGGCUGUAAACAAUGAGAGAUCAUGGGGCAGGUGAUGCUUAGGUUUCACAGGAUGUGCGCUUCAUUACGGAUUAAAAGAGAGGAAUAAAAUAUAAGGUAAGGUGGCAAAUAGGUAAAUAAGUGUUGAAUUGCACUUUCUAUUUGCUCACAUACAUCCAUUUAAGUGUAAACAGUGAAAGAUGUUGAAGCAGAUAUGACACUUAGGUGCCAUGUGCUCCAUUAUGGAUUAGAAGAGAGAGAAUAAAAUAUAAAAUGGAAAUAAAAAUAACACUACAUUUUGCUACAAUUACCACACGGUAUUAUGAUGAAAAUGCAAUCCUAGUGUCAUGUAAGACUAAAUGCAUUUAGGAAAAAUAGCAUUUAAAUGAUAAUUUUGCUACAGUUUUUGCUUGGACAUGUUAAACAUAUCUAAUCAAUUUGGGUAUACAUUUUAAUUUUAAUUUUGCAAUUUAUAAAGCGUUAUAUGUAUUUCAUUGAUAUAUUAAAACUAGUAUAGAAAAUGGCAAAUGCAAAAUACAUUUAAUAUUCAUUUUCAUUUUGGACCAAAUGUUGCAAAAUGUUUUUUUUUUUUUUCAAUCCUGUGGCAAAUCCCCCUGAGGAAGGACCUUAUUUGUCAGGAGCAGGGCACAAUAUGGCACCUGCCCCCAUACCUCUGGAACAUCCACGCUUGGUCCCUUUAUGUGACAAAGAAUUUACAGGGCUAUCAACAGCUGUGAUAGACACAAUCACUCAGGUGAGAGCACCCUCUGCCAGGUGGUUAAAUGCCCUGAAGUGGGACUUGUGCAGUGCUCGGUGCUAAUUCUGUGGGGAAGACAUGGUUUUGAAUCAGUGAGUACGUUUACAUAGAUACUUUUUGCUUCCAUUGGAAUUAAUUCAUUCUGAUUGACGAAUCUGAACGUAGUGUUUACAUGAACACUAAAUAAAGUGAUCGGGUUGAUAUGCGUGUUUAUAUGUCACAAGCUUCUGAUCGGAUUUAUUCUUUUGACGUGCAAACUGCAUGAAUAUACAGAGUUUCCCAC
ensembl:lncRNA